UCAAAUACUGUAUUUAUUUCACAGCAAGAAACAGGCAUAUAUUUAUUAGGUUUGAUACAAAAGAAGGAAGGAAGGAAAGGAGGGAGGGACGGAGGAAGGAAGGAAGGAAAAAUCAUUCAAACAAUAUAGACACGUAUACCAUAUCCUCCUGCCACACAGCUAACAAGAAGGUAUUAGGAGCAAUCAUGAAGUAUAUUAAAAUAUUACCCUAUUCAAUGUUUUAAAAACAAUAUGAAAAUAAAAGUCCCAAAGCGUUACAACAGUCUUUAUUUUGAAGAUAUAUACAGUGAAGACCCAAUUUUCACUUUUGACAAAAGAGAAACAGAAAAAUCCAUUACAUUGAAAGCAUGUAAACGUGAAUCCAAAAUGCAGCCACGUGCACUUCAACUCUCCAUCGGCUUUAGUCUGUUCUACAUGACAGAGGUAUGGCAUUUGGGAGGGGUUGGGGGGGUGGAGCUACAGUGUACCAGAAACGUACCACAGAAAAAGUAGCACUACUAAUCAAGAAAGAUGGAAGGUCCUGGAAACAGUCCCAGAUGUUACCAGACCUCUCAAACUGGAAGUUGUCUACACUACCCCUAGUUAACAGAGACACUUUAAUGUAGUACCAAGUAGCUAAAUAGCUCUCCUCAGCAGACACAGCAUAAACACUUCCCUGGAAUGCAGGAACUUUUGGGGCAGGGUAGAAAGAAGUCACUUUAUUUAGGACCAAUUUUGCAAAUUUGGCCGAAAAGUCUCAUGUCUCAUUUCACUGAUUCUUCGGGAGCACCGAGACAUAUCUAGAGCUAUCCUGGAACCAUCAAGACAGUCAGUCACUUUAAUAUGGAUUCACUAUGGUUGAGUUACUGAAUUCCUUUUAGAAAUCUACCUUAGAGAGAGAGAUGGUUUCAACAUGUUAAAAGUAUAG